GCCUGGCUGGCUCCGUCGGAAGAGCAUGCGACUCUUGAUCUCGGGGUCAUGAGUUCGAGCCCCAUGUUGGGUG
rfam:Ailuropoda melanoleuca scaffold292_121, whole genome shotgun sequence.